rnacentral:piRNA from 1 species
AAGGACAAUCAAAGACGCAACUAAUC